AGUGAACGCUGGCGGUGUGCCUAACACAUGCAAGUCGAACGGCAGCACAGUAAGAGCUUGCUCUUACGGGUGGCGAGUGGCGGACGGGUGAGGAAUACAUCGGAAUCUACUUUUUCGUGGGGGAUAACGUAGGGAAACUUACGCUAAUACCGCAUACGACCUACGGGUGAAAUCAGGGGAUCUUCGGACCUUGCGCGACUGAAUGAGCCGAUGUCGGAUUAGCUAGUUGGCGGGGUAAAGGCCCACCAAGGCGACGAUCCGUAGCUGGUCUGAGAGGAUGGUCAGCCACACUGGAACUGAGACACGGUCCAGACUCCUACGGGAGGCAGCAGUAGGGAAUAUUGGACAAUGGGCGCAAGCCUGAUCCAGCCAUACCGCGUGGGUGAAGAAGGCCUUCGGGUUGUAAAGCCCUUUUGUUGGGAAAGAAAAGCAGCAGGUUAAUACCCCGCUGUUCUGACGGUACCCAAAGAAUAAGCACCGGCUAACUUCGUG
rnacentral:rRNA from 1 species